rnacentral:rRNA from 1 species
CUCCUGGAAACGGGUGGUAAUGCCGGAUGCUCCGGUUGGAUGCAUGUCCUUCCGGGAAAGAUCCGUCGGUAUGGGAUGGGGUCGCGUCCUAUCAGCUUGAUGGCGGGGUAACGGCCCACCAUGGCUUCGACGGGUAGCCGGCCUGAGAGGGCGACCGGCCACAUUGGGACUGAGAUACGGCCCAGACUCCUACGGGAGGCAGCAGUGGGGAAUAUUGCACAAUGGGCGCAAGCCUGAUGCAGCGACGCCGCGUGCGGGAUGGAGGCCUUCGGGUUGUAAACCGCUUUUGAUCGGGAGCAAGCCCUUCGGGGUGAGUGUACCCUUCGAAUAAGCACCGGCUAACUACGUGCCAGCAGCCGCGGUAAUACGUAGGGUGCAAGCGUUAUCCGGAAUUAUUGGGCGUAAAGGGCUCGUAGGCGGUUCGUCGCGUCCGGUGUGAAAGCCCAUCGCUUAACGGUGGGUCUGCGCCGGGUACGGGCGGGCUGGAGUGCGGUAGGGGAGACUGGAAUUCCCGGUGUAACGGUGGAAUGUGUA